AUUGAACGCUGGCGGCAUGCUUUACACAUGCAAGUCGAACGGUAACAGGCCGCAAGGUGCUGACGAGUGGCGAACGGGUGAGUAAUGCAUCGGAACGUGCCCAGCCGUGGGGGAUAACUACUCGAAAGAGUAGCUAAUACCGCAUACGAUCUAUGGAUGAAAGCGGGGGACCGUAAGGCCUCGCGCGAUUGGAGCGGCCGAUGUCAGAUUAGGUAGUUGGUGGGGUAAAGGCUCACCAAGCCAACGAUCUGUAGCUGGUCUGAGAGGACGACCAGCCACACUGGGACUGAGACACGGCCCAGACUCCUACGGGAGGCAGCAGUGGGGAAUGUUGGACAAUGGGCGCAAGCCUGAUCCAGCAAUGCCGCGUGCAGGAAGAAGGCCUUCGGGUUGUAAACUGCUUUUGUACGGAACGAAACGGCUCUGGUUAAUACCCGGGGCUAAUGACGGUACCGUAAGAAUAAGCACCGGCUAACUACGUG
rnacentral:rRNA from 1 species